rnacentral:lncRNA from 1 species
UUUGUGUAUUCAUCAACUGACAUGCUGCCCUUGGUCAAUGUCAGAAACUUGUUCUCCAACUCCAACAUAUUUUGGGCUGAACAGAACUUGCACUUGAACUGCACCAAAAAUUCUGCCCACGUCAGUUGCAGUGGCUCAUUAGGGCUUAAAGUCUUACCUAGAGUGUUCCACCAUCGAACGGCUCCACCUCGGAACCGACGCACAGCAUAGAUAGUCUGCAACUUGCCUCUGCAGCCACAAGUCAUGAAGGCUAACUCCAUUUCUGAGAUCCAAUCCAUAACUCCAAUCGGAUCCUCCUUUCCAUUGAAGGUCGAUGGUUUGCAAGUUAGAAAGUCCUUGUACUUGCAUCCCAUUCCAUCAUUCCUUCCAUCAUGGUUGUUUUGCCUAACUAUCGGUGGGUUGGCUUGACUAACAGACCCACUGAAGUUUCCACCUUCCGAGUGUCCUUCAUUCAAUUCGGGCUCUUCUAUUUGAAUUCACAGUUCUUCACGAUUUUGAUGAAGCAACCGCCUAGUCUCCUCCAUUUGACGAUCCAACAUCGUUUGAAUCAUCAUUUGUACAUCAGCCAUUGUUAUCGGCUCAGGUGCUGCUGCUACGACAUGUAUUUGCUCAAUCACUGGUGGUUGAUUCCUGUUUUCAUCAGCAUUUCCAACUCCACUUCUUGUUCUCACCAUUUUUGAUCUAUACACCGAAUAAGGUGAAAUUAGAUCCUCAUUCACGAUAGAUAUUCAAAUCAUCCUUAUCNNNNNNNNUUGCACACCAGCCAUGGUUAUUGGCUCAGGUGCUGCUGCUACGACAGGUAUUUGCUCAAUCACUGGUGGUUGAUUCCUGUUUUCAUCAGCAUUUCCAACUCCACUUCUUGUUCUCACCAUUUUUGAUCUAUACACCGAAUAAGGUGAAAUUAGAUCCUCAUUCAC